rnacentral:misc_RNA from 1 species
AACGCAUCUUGCGCUCCUUGGUAUUCCGAGGAGCAUGCCUGUUUGAGUGUCAUUUGACUUCUCUCAACCACAUCAUUAUUUUUUUGAUGUGCGCUUGGAUGUGGGGGUUUGCAGGCUUCUUUUUCUAAUGAAAGCUGGCUCCCCUGAAAUGCAUUAGUGGUAAUCUGAGCUGCUAUUGGUGUGAUAAUUUAUCUAUGCCUUUGGUAAUUGCUGGUCAGCACCGCUUAUAACAACCAACAUUUGACAAAUUUGACCUCAAAUCAGGUAGGACUACCCGCUGAACUUAA